CUGGCGUCAGCCGCCGCGGUAAUACCAGCACCCCGAGUGGUCGGGACGAUUAUUGGGCCUAAAGCAUCCGUAGCCGGCCUUACAAGUCCUCCGUUAAAUCCAGCUGCUUAACAGAUGGGCUGCGGAGGAUACUAUAAGACUAGGAGGCAGGAGAGGCAAGCGGUACUCAAUGGGUAGGGGUAAAAUCCGUUGAUCCAUUGAAGACCACCAGUGGCGAAGGCGGCUUGCCAGAAUGCGCUCGACGGUGAGGGAUGGAAGCUGGGGGAGCAAACCGGAUUAGAUACCCGGGUAGUCCCAGCUGUAAACGAUGCAGACUCGGUGAUGGACUAGCUUUAUGCUGGUCCAGUGCCGCAGGGAAGCCGUUAAGUCUGCCGCCUGGGUAGUACGGUCGCAAGACUGAAACUUAAAG
rnacentral:rRNA from 2 species